GCCAGCAUGGCAUAGUGGUUUGAGUGUUGGACUACAACUCUGGAGACCAGGGUUUGAUUCCCAGCUCGGCCA